rnacentral:rRNA from 1 species
UACAGAGGGGGCAAGCGUUAUUCGGAAUUAUUGGGCGUAAAGGGCGCGUAGGCGGCCGAGCAAGUCUUGGGUGAAAUCCCUCGGCUCAACCGAGGAACUGCCUUGGAAACUGCUCGGCUUGAGGCCGGGAGAGGAUGGUGGAAUUCCCAGUGUAGCGGUGAAAUGCGUAGAUAUUGGGAGGAACACCAGUGGCGAAGGCGGCCAUCUGGACCGGUCCUGACGCUGAGGAGCGAAAGCGUGGGGAGCAAACAGG